rnacentral:rRNA from 1 species
ACGGGGGGUGCAAGCGUUGUUCGGAAUUAUUGGGAGUAAAGAGCGUGUAGGCGGCUGAAUAAGUCAGAUGUGAAAUCCCUGGGCUUAACCCAGGAAGUGCAUUUGAAACUAUUCAGCUUGAGUAGGGGAGAGGAAAGUGGAAUUCCUGGUGUAGAGGUGAAAUUCGUAGAUAUCAGGAGGAACACCGGGGGCGAAGGCGACUUUCUGGCCCUAUACUGACGCUGAGACGCGAGAGCGUUGGUAGUAAACAG